rnacentral:misc_RNA from 1 species
CAACUUCCACCUGGCAUACCUCUUCAGUUAUGCGUCAUGACUUGUAUCGUCUUGAGCGUAUUGUGGGUUUCCUGUGUUGCAUACCUUUCUAAUGGUAUCGUGUUGGUUGAUCGAAGUCCCUUUUCAUCUUGGGUUGCUUUUUGCGAUGCAUGAUGAACCUUGAGGCGGUCUCUAUGUUCCACCACGUUGAUGCUAGCGCUUUGAUGUUGUGGCCCAUUGAGUGUUGCUUGGUUUCGUGGAUACAGAACAUGAUUUGGGCAUAGGGUUACUUGUGACUCUUGUUUUGUCCUUUAUCUGUGUUCUUUAUAACGACGGUUCAUGCGCGCCUAGGCUCGUACCUGCGCGAUGUUCUUUGUCGAAGAGGAAUGCUACCUGGUUGAUCCUGCCAGUAGUCAUAUGCUUGUCUCAAAGAUUAAGCCAUGCAUGUGUAA